GAUGAACGCUGACAGAAUGCUUAACACAUGCAAGUCUUUGGCGAAGCUGUGCUUGCACAGCCUAGCCAAGGCGGACGGGUGAGUAACGCGUAAGGAACUUGCCCUGCAGUCAGGGAUAACAGACGGAAACGACUGAUAAGACCUGGUAAAGUCAGGCGGACUCAUGUCCAGCCUGAUGAAAAGAGAUGCUGCAGGAGAGCCUUGCGUCCUAUUAGCUUGUUGGUGGGGUAACGGCCCACCAAGGCGAUGAUAGGUAGCCGGCCUGAGAGGGUGGACGGCCACAAGGGGACUGGGAUACGGCCCUUACGCCUACGGGAGGCAGCAGGGGGGAAUAUUGGACAAUGGGGGCAACCCUGAUCCAGCAAUUCUGUGUGCACGAUGAAGGUUUUCGGAUUGUAAAGUGCUUUCAGCAGGGAAGAAAAAAAUGACGGUACCUGCAGAAGAAGCGACGGCUAAAUACGUG
rnacentral:rRNA from 1 species